rnacentral:rRNA from 1 species
GUGUCAGCAGCCGCGGUAAUACGGAGGGGGCAAGCGUUAUUCGGAAUCAUUGGGCGUAAAGGGCGCGUAGGCGGCUUGGCAAGUCAAAGGUGAAAUCCCUCGGCCCAACCGAGGAACUGCCUUUGAUACUGCCUCGCUCGAGGCCGGGAGAGGGUAGCGGAAUUCCCAGUGUAGCGGUGAAAUGCGUAGAUAUUGGGAGGAACACCAGUGGCGAAGGCGGCUACCUGGACCGGUUCUGACGCUGAUGCGCGAAAGCGUGGGGAGCAAACAGGAUUAGAUACCCUGGUAGUCCACGCCGUAAACGAUGGGUACUCGGUGUCGCGGGUAUCGACCCCUGCGGUGCCUUAGCUAACGCGUUAAGUACCCCGCCUGGGGAGUACGGUCGCAAGGCUGAA